AGAGAUUGGUUAAAAAAGUGACUAAUCUCGUUGGUUGAGGCAAUAUUGGUCAAAUUAACUGUGACAUUGGUAACUAUUAAACAAACAAAUUGGUUAUCUAACAACUAAUAUCAUUGGUUAAGAACAAAUUGGUUGAUUUAACAAAGAUAUUGGUUAACUUUAAUAACAGAUUGGUUGAAAAAUGACUAAUAUCAUUGGUUAAGCAAAUGUUAACUAAGAGAUUGGUAACUGACGCAGGUCUGACGCUCAACGUCAAGUACGUAACUCUGCUUCUCAAUUUUCUGACAAAGCCGCCAUCUUGGUGCUGCAGGAAAGCCGUUUGAGAUAUUGGUGGAAUUCAAACACUUUGUGAGAUGACAGAAUAUUGCUGAAGGAUCCUACAUGGAAGUUGGCUGAUUACACGGAGUGAUUCCUCUGGUGUGGUGUACCUCAGAGAAAUAAACACUGUUGCAAGAGCUGAGAAGAUGGCCAAGAUAUCCUUAUUGCUGGAUGGUAGCUCUGGUCGUAGUGGACCAUAUCUGCAAAUGCUUCUGAACAUUGACAGAAUUUCUAAAGCUCAGAAGAUAUCCUUAUUGCUGGAUGGUUGCUCUCUGGUCGUACUUGACCCCCCUGGACCAUGUCUGCAAAUGCUUCUGAACAUUGACAGAAUUUCUAAAGGAUCGCUGAGGACUCCCCCUCCAUGCGUGACAUCUUUGAGAAAUUUCCACGCUUUCUGGAGAUGCCAAGUUUGACUGGAACCAACUUUGCAUCCCUCGGCACUGACACUGAGAAGGUUUCAAGGACCCCACUACUAGGAGGCGAGAGUUUGACACGGCAGUGUCAUCACUGCCAUGGAUGACAAUGUAACCAUUCCUGUUGCUGAUUGCCUGACUUGCGCAGUGACAAGCUUUUCAUGCUCUACUGGGUGUGUAACUUGGCAUAUCCACCACAGUUUAACUCUGUUUUUGCCUCUUUUGAAUAUGUGUACGAUAUAACCAUCUCAACCAAAAAGUGGGCCAAGGUACUGGAACAUUUCUCACUUCAAGUUGCUCUGUAGUCACUGGACAUUUUUUAAAACAUCUACGCAAACACCACCAUUCCACACCAUGUGUAUUUUUAUUACUUCUGAUUCCACUGACAUGCAGACUACAUCCUAUGCAGAUUCAGGUAAUUUACCUGGUACUGGAGAAACAGCAUUGUAUGCCAUUGUUUUGCUUGUUUUGCAAAAAUGUACUGUUCUUUGAAUAUAACUUAAAGUAAGAUCAUGUUGACUCUGAGGUUUUCUCCGGUUGUCAAGCACAACCUUAACGUUUUGUAAGUAAGUAAUAGUCACAGGAUAUGCAUGCAUUUGUAAUUUGAAUUUUCGUCGAAAACGGCUCACCAAGCAUAAAAUGUUACCUCUGCUUUUGAUUUUUCUUUUUUUUUAAAUGUCCCUUAAUACCAGCCUGUCUUUUUGUUGUGUCCACACAACUUAACCAUCAUCAGUGUUGGGAAGGAACAGAUUGCUGUAAGUUACUGUAUCCCCAUCCUUUCAGAUCAGUGCUUUAAAGCCUUUUGAAAUUAAAUUGUUAAUAAACUUUGUGAAAACAAA